AGCUCCAAUAGCGUAUAUUAAAGUUGUUGCAGUUAGAACGCUCGUAGUCGGAUUUCGGGUUGGGCCGACCGGUCUGCCGAUGGGUACGCACUGGUCGGCGCAAUCUUCCUCUCGGAGACCGUGCCUACUCUUAACUGAGCGGGUGCGGGAGACGGGACUUUUACUUUGAAAAAUCAGAGUGUUUCAAGCAGGCAGUCGCUCUUGCAUGGAUUAGCAUGGGAUAAUGAAAUAGGA
rnacentral:rRNA from 1 species